AUGGUAUCUCUCCUAAAUAAGAUUGCUCCUAUUAUUGUUGUGCCUCAUGAAAAUGAAUCAAAAAUAAUUGUGGGAGAUGAUGCAUUUGAUGAUGAUCUAGUUAUGCCUAUUGCUUGUUGUGAUGAUUAUGAUUGGGAAGAUAAUGAUACUCCUUAUGAUCUUGAAAAUCUUUUUGGCACUUGCUUGGAAGAAUAUAAUAAUUGCUAUACUAUUGGUGUUAUCCAUACUAUUAAUGAUGAGAGUGAUUAUGCUUAUGAUAUGAAAAGGCCCAAGCUUGGGGAAGCUAUGUUUGAUGAAGAUGAUGUUUUUGAGAAUAUAUUUGCUGCUAUUAAUGUUUGUCCCAAGCUUGGGGAUGCUACGUUUAAUAAUGAUGAUAUUUUUAGCCUCUCAAGUUUUGAUAUGCAAAGUUGUUAUGAUGAUAGCAUGCCUUCUACCUAUGAUGAUUAUAUUGAUGAAAGUGGAUUUGGAAGAGUGUCAACUUUAGGAAGUAAUGAUCCCACUAUUUUGGAGUAUGUUGAAUCUUAUAAUAUUUAUGAAAGUGGAUUUGGAGAGGUCAUGACUUUAUUUAGUGAUGUAUCGACUAUUUCAGAAGAGGUUUCAAUCGAUUAUGAUGAGAACAAAGUUGCUACCUAUGAUGAUUAUUGUGAUGAAACUUAUGCUAUAAAAAAUAGUGAUGAUUAUAUUUAUAAAACUUGUCAUGAUUAUGAUUACCCUUUUUCUGAACAUUACUCUUUUAAUGUGGAAACAAUUUAUAGUAUUCAAGUCUCUUAUAAUACUCCCACUAUUCCGAAUGAGAAGAAAUUUGCUUAUGUGGAGAGUAAUAAAAUUUCUAUGCUAAUAGAUCAUGAAAAGGAUGCUUUAGGUGCUGGCUAUAUUGUUGAAUUCAUUCAUGAUUCUACUGAAAAUUAUUAUGAAAGAGGAUCAUAUGCUUCUACAUAUUGCAAUAAUAUCAAGUUUUCUCUCUAUGUGCUUAAAAUCUUGAAGUUAUGCUUGUUUUACCUUCCUAUGCAAGUUGAUUCUUGUUCCCAUAAGUUGUUUGCUCACAAAAUCCCUAUGCAUAGGAAGUGGGUUAGACUUAAAUGUGCUAGUCAUAUUCUUCAUGAUGCUCCCUUUAUAUUUCAAUUCUUAUCUUUUUGUGAGCAUCAUUGA
rnacentral:rRNA from 1 species